GUGGGGAAUAUUGGACAAUGGGGGGAACCCUGAUCCAGCGACGCCGCGUGAGUGAAGAAGUAUUUCGGUAUGUAAAGCUCUAUCAGCAGGGAAGAAAAUGACGGUACCUGACUAAGAAGCCCCGGCUAACUACGUGCCAGCAGCCGCGGUAAUACGUAGGGGGCAAGCGUUAUCCGGAUUUACUGGGUGUAAAGGGAGCGUAGACGGUGCAGCAAGUCUGAUGUGAAAGGUCGGGGCCCAACCCCGGGACUGCAUUGGAAACUGUUGAACUGGAGUACAGGAGAGGUAAGCGGAAUUCCUAGUGUAGCGGUGAAAUGCGUAGAUAUUAGGAGGAACACCAGUGGCGAAGGCGGCUUACUGGACUGUAACUGACGUUGAGGCUCGAAAGCGUGGGGAGCAAACAGGAUUAGAAACCCGAGUAGUCC
rnacentral:rRNA from 1 species